GAAACAACUGCGGUAUUUUUCUUCUUAAACAAACCAUGGUUCUUCCUGUGAUUUCACAGGUAACAUACUCCCUGCUUAGUAUUUUAAAGAAACUUCUGAAUUUUUGCUCUCUAUAUCUUCCAGUCGACUAUAGAGUUUCAAUUUAUCGCGGGUUCGAAGAAGAGGAGUUACACCUGAUAGGUUGGUUGAUUAAAUAGGAGGAAAUUUGGUUUCGUUGUUUGACUGUGGUGAUAAAUGGCGCUGAAUGAUUGAUGGUUGAUUUGGUCUCUGUAAUGAAUUAGGAUUCAAUAUGGGUUUAUGUGAAUUUGAUUGCUGUGCAGGGAAGGAGUUGUAAUGCUUCAAAAAUCAGAACCAACAGAGUACAGAAGCGGUGUUUGCUAAAAUGCCUAAAUGAAUUGGUUAGCUUUUGUGCUACUGUAAGGCUGCUGUUACCGAUUGAAUGAGGGGUUUAAUGGGUUCUGAUGGUGUCAAAUGUUUUCAUCAGUUGGAGGACAUGGUAUGGGUAGUAGGCGGAGUUGUUUUUGGCAGAGAGAAUGCUUACUGAGCAGGCAGAUGUCAUAAUUUUUGUUGGCGAGGUUGAUCGAGUGUAUUUGAGCACGCCUACAAAGAUUGCCAUCAUAGACCAUGAGAAGAAAAGAUACUUUGUACUGAGAAAAGAAAGCAUGCUUGAUGCAGGUGUGGUUUCUAAAUGCAAGUACUGUUGAGAUGACGAAUACCGGAA